CAAGUCGUGGGGCAGCAGGUUUGUAGCAAUACAGAUGCUGGCGACCGGCAAACGGGUGCGUAACACGUACGCAACUUACCCAUUACUGGGGAAUAGCCCAGGGAAACUUGGAUUAAUACCCCAUAUUAUAUAGAGUAGGCAUCUACUUUAUAUCAAAGCUUCGGCGGUAAUGGAUGGGCGUGCGGUUGAUUAGAUAGUUGGCGGGGUAACGGCCCACCAAGUCUACGAUCAAUAGCUGAUGUGAGAGCAUGAUCAGCCACACGGGCACUGAGACACGGGCCCGACUCCUACGGGAGGCAGCAGUAAGGAAUAUUGGGCAAUGGACGAAAGUCUGACCCAGCCAUGCCGCGUGAAGGAUGAAGGUCCUCUGGAUUGUAAACUUCUUUUAUCUGGGGCGAAAAUCACCCUUUCUAGGGUGCUUGACAGUACCAGAUGAAUAAGCACCGGCUAACUCCGUGCCAGCAGCCGCGGUAAUACGGAGGGUGCAAGCGUUAUCCGGAUUCACUGGGUUUAAAGGGUGCGUAGGCGGGCAGGUAAGUCAGUGGUGAAAUCUUCGAGCUUAACUCGGAAACUGCCGUUGAUACUAUCUGUCUUGAAUUUAGUGGAGGUAAGCGGAAUAUGUCAUGUAGCGGUGAAAUGCUUAGAUAUGACAUAGAACACCAAUUGCGAAGGCAGCUUGCUACACUAUUAUUGACGCUGAGGCACGAAAGCGUGGGGAUCAAACAGGAUUAGAUACCCUGGUAGUCCACGCCCUAAACGAUGAUUACUCGACAUCAGCGAUACACUGUUGGUGUCUAAGCUAAAGCAUUAAGUAAUCCACCUGGGAAGUACGAUCGCAAGAUUGAAACUCAAAGGAAUUGGCGG
rnacentral:rRNA from 1 species